rnacentral:rRNA from 1 species
GCAGCGACGCCGCGUGAGGGAUGACGGCCUUCGGGUUGUAAACCUCUUUCAGCAGGGACGAAGCGAAAGUGACGGUACCUGCAGAAGAAGCACCGGCCAACUACGUGCCAGCAGCCGCGGUAAUACGUAGGGUGCAAGCGUUGUCCGGAAUUACUGGGCGUAAAGAGUUCGUAGGCGGUUUGUCGCGUCGUUUGUGAAAACUCGAGGCUCAACCGCGAGCUUGCAGGCGAUACGGGCAGACUUGAGUACUGCAGGGGAGACUGGAAUUCCUGGUGUAGCGGUGAAAUGCGCAGAUAUCAGGAGGAACACCGGUGGCGAAGGCGGGUCUCUGGGCAGUAACUGACGCUGAGGAACGAAAGCGUGGGUAGCGAACAGGAUUAGAUACCCUGGUAGUCCACGCCGUAAACGGUGGGCGCUAGGUGUGGGUUCCUUCCACGGGAUCCGUGGCGUAACUUAAGCAUUAAGCGCCCCGCCCGGGGAGUACGGGCGCCAGGGUAAAACUCAAAGGAAUUGACGGGGGCCCGCACAAGCGGCGGAACAUGGGGAUUAAUUCCAUGCCACGCGAAAAAACUUACCUGGGUUUGACAUAUACCGGAAAGCCGUAGAGAUACGGCCCCCCUUGUGG